CCCAGCGCGCCCCGGCCCCUGCGGCACAGGGCGAGAGUCACCAAAGGGCCCGAAACGGCCCCAAAACGGCCCCGAAACGGGGCCCGGCCUCGCCUGGGCACCCCCAGACACCCCGGGCACCGGGGCCGGUCCUGGAAUGUUCUGGAAUGUUCCUGAGGUGCUCCCGGGGUGGUCCUGAAGGUGUCUCUGGAAUGUUCUGGAAUGUUCCUGAGGUGCUCCCGGGGUGGUCCUGAAGGUGGUCCUGGAAUGUUCUGGAAUGUUCCUGAGGUGCUCCCGGGGUGGUCCUGAAGGUGUCUCUGGAAUGUUCUGGAAUGUUCCUGAGGUGGUCCUGAAAUGUUCCAUAGGGUGGUGCUGAAGGUGUUUCUGGAAUGUUCCUGGGGGCGUUUCUGGAAUGUUCUUUGGGGUGUUUCUGAAAUGUUCCUUGGAAUGCUCCUGGAACGUUCCCUGGUGCUACUCUCGGAACAUUCCUGGGGUGUUGCUGGAAUGUUCCUUGGGAUGUUGCUGGAAUGUUCCUGGAGGUGUUUCUGGAAUGUUCCUGGGGUGUUCUUUGGAAUGUUCCUUGGGUGGUCCUGAAGGUGUUUCUGGAAUGUUCUUGGGGUGUCUCUGGAACAUUCCUGGGACUGUUCCCGGGAUGCUCCAGGGGAUGUUGCUGGAAUGUUCUUGGAGGUGUUUCUGGAAUGUUCCUGGAAUGUUCCUUGGAAUGUUCCUUGGGUGUCCCUGGGGGUGCUCUUGGAGGUGUUUCUGGAAUGUUCCUGGGGGUGCUGUUGGAAUAUUCAUGAAAGUGUUUCUGGAAUAUUCCUGGGAUGUUCCUUGGAAUGUUCCUGGGAUGUUCCUUGCAAUGUUUCUUGGGGUGUUGCUGGAAUGUUCCUUGGAAUGUUCCUGGAGUGUUACUGAGGUGUUCCUGGGGUGUUGCUGGAGGUGUUUCUGGAAUGUUCCUGGGAGUUCUCUUGGAAUGUUCUUUGGGAUGUUGCUGGAACAUUCCUUGGGGUGUUCCUGGGGGUGUCCUUGGAGCAUUCCUGGGGGUGUCCCAGGAAUGUUCCUUGGGAUGUUGCUGGAAUGUUCCUUGGGCUAUUUCCAGGGGUGUUCUUGGGGUGUUGCUGGAAUGUUCUUGAAGGUGUUGCUGGAAUGUUCCUGGAAUGUUCCGGGGGGUUUGGGGCUCCCCUGGCCCGGAUCUGGUGGGUUUGGGGUUUUUGGGAGGUGCCGGCACCUCGGGGGUGCUCAGGAGGUCCUGAAAGCACCAAAAAGGGCCUUGGGUGGUCCUAACACCACCCAACUUUGGAAUGGAACGAGAAGAAUUCGUAAAACCACUGAGCUGUGGCAUCGAAUGAAGAAGAGUUCCUACGAACACUGAACUGAGCAGUGCAAGGAGAAGAGUUCCUAAAAACCCUGGGAUUUUGUCACCCGAACGAGAGAAUUCCUAAAACCACCAAAAAAUAGUCUUGGAUGUCAAAAAAUGGUCCUGGGGUGGGAGAGAAUUCCAAAAACCACCAAAAAUGGUCUUGGAAGAUCAAGUGUGGUGAGGAAACUCCUAAAAAACCCCAAAGGAAAUGGCCGGGGGAGAGAAUUCCUAAAACCCACCAAAAUCGGGUCUUGGAAAUGAGAGAAUUCCUAAAAAACAUCGAGAUUUGUGCCUUGGAAGUGAGAGAAUUCCCAUGAGAUGCUCCUGGGUUGUGUCCAUGCUGCUGGAAUUCCUAAAAACCACCCAGGUUUGUGCCUUGGAAAUGAGAGAAUUCCUGUGAAAUGUUCUUGGGAUGUGUCCGUGUUGCUGAAAUCCUAAAUUGCACCCAAACUGUGCUCUGGAAGUGCCACAAUUCCCAUGAAAUGCUCUUGGUUGUGUUGAUGUUGCUGGAAUUCCUAAAAUUCACCCAAAUUGUGCCUUGGAAGUGGAAGAAUUCCUAAAAAAUGUUCUUGGGUUCUGUUGAUGUUGCUGAAAUCCCAAAAACCACCAAGUUUGUGCCUUGGAAAUGAGAGAAUUCCCAUGAAAUGCUCCUGGGUUGUGUUGAUGCUGAGAGAAUUCCUAAACUCACCCAAACUGUGCCUUGGAAAUGAGAGAAUCCCUAAAAAAAACAAAAUGUUCCUGGAGAGUGUCUUGGUAUGUUGCUGAAAUCCCAAAAACCACCGAAUUUUGUGUCUUGGAAAUGAAAGAGUUCCCAUGAAAUGCUCUUGGGUUGUGUUGAUGUUGAAAGAAUUCCUAAAAAUUACCGAAUUUUGUGUCUUGGAAAAGAGAGAAUUCCCAUGAAAUGCUCCUGGGUUGUGCACAAAUUAUUAAAAUUCACCCAAAUUGUGCCUUGGAAGUGCCAAAAUUCCCAUGAAAUGCUCCUGGGUUGUGUGGAUGUUGACAGAAUUCCCAAAAACCACCGAGUUUUGCACCUUGGAAGUGAAAGAAUUCCUAAAAAAUGCUCUUGGGUUGUGUUGAUGCUGAAAGAAUUCCUAAACUCACCCAAAUUGUGCCUUGGAAAUGAGAGAAUUCCUAAAAAGAUCAGAAUGUUCUUGGAGUGCGUCUUGGUGUGUUGCUGGAAUUCCUAAAAUUCACCCAAAUUGUGCCUUGGAAGUGCCAGAAUUCCCAUGAAAUGCUCCUGGGUUGUGUUGAUGUUGACAGAAUUCCCAAAACCACCGAGUUUUGUGCCUUGGAAAUGAGAAAAUUCCUAAAAAAUGCUCUUGGGUUGUGUUGAUGUUGCUGGAAUUCCUAAAAACCACCGAGUUUUGUGCCUUGGAAAUGAGAGAAUUCCUAGGAAAUGCUCUUGGGUUGUGUUGAAGAAUUCCUGAAUUUGCCCAAAUUGUGCUUUGGAAAUGGGAGAAUUCCUGUGAAAUGUUCUUGGUUUGUGUUCAUGUUGCUGAAAUCCUAAAAUUCACCCAAACUGUGCCUUGGAAAUGAGAGAAUUCCUAAAAAUGUUCUUGGGAUGGGUCCAUGCUGCUGAAGUCCUAAGAAUCACCGAGUUUUGUGCCUUGGAAAUGAGAGAAUUCCCAUGAAAUGCCCUCGGGCUGUGCUGGUGCUGCUGAAAUCCUACAAUUCCCCCAGAGUGGGCCUUGGCAAUGAGAGAAUUCCUACAAAUGUCCUCGCUCUGUGGCCGCGGUGCCGCGUCCCUCGCCGGGGGCUCCUGCUGCUGCCUCUGGUGUUGCGUUUUUUGGGGUUUUGGGGUUUUUCUGUGUUUUUUCUCCUGGAGUUUUGUUUUUGGGGCGUUGCUUGGCCCCCCCAGUGUGGUGUGAGGGUGGGAGGAGGAGGAGGAGGAGGGAGGAGGAGGAGGAGGAGGAAGAGGCUGAAUCUGCCUGGGACGGGCGAGGAGCUGGGGAAGGACAAACCCCCAACCCCCAAAUUUGGGGAAGACCCCU
ensembl:lncRNA